GAAAGCCCACGGCUCAACCCGUGGAACUGCAUCGGAAACUGUCAUUCUUGAGUGCAGAAGAGGAGAGUGGAACUCCAUGUGUAGCGGUGGAAUGCGUAGAUAUAUGGAAGAACACCAGUGGCGAAGGCGGCUCUCUGGUCUGCAACUGACGCUGAGGCUCGAAAGCAUGGGUAGCGAACAGGAUUAGAUACCCUGGUAGUCCAUGCCGUAAACGAUGAGCGCUAGGUGUUGGGGACUUUCCGGUUCUCAGUGCCGCAGCAAACGCAUUAAGCGCUCCGCCUGGGGAGUACGACCGCAAGGUUGAAACUCAAAGGAAUUGACGGGGGCCCGCACAAGCGGUGGAGCAUGUGGUUUAAUUCGAAGCAACGCGAAGAACCUUACCAGGUCUUGACAUCCUGCGCAACACCUAGAGAUAAGUCUUUCCCUUCGGGGACGCAGAGACAGGUGGUGCAUGGCUGUCGUCAGCUCGUGUCGUGAGAUGUUGGGUUAAGUCCCGCAACGAGCGCAACCCUUGUCUUUAGUUGCCAUCAUUAAGUUGGGCACUCUAGAGAGACUGCCGGUGACAAACCGGAGGAAGGUGGGGAUGACGUCAAGUCAUCAUGCCCCUUAUGACCUGGGCUACACACGUGCUACAAUGGGCAGUACAACGAGAAGCGAACCCGCGAGGGUAAGCGGAUCUCUUAAAGCUGUUCUCAGUUCGGACUGCAGGCUGCAACUCGCCUGCACGAAGCUGGAAUCGCUAGUAAUCGCGGAUCAGCACGCCGCGGUGAAUACGUUCCCGGGCCUUGUACACACCGCCCGUCACACCAUGGAAGUCUGCAAUGCCCAAAGUCGGUGGGAUAACCUUUUAGGAGUCAGCCGCCUAAGGCAGGGCAGAUGACUGGGGUGAAGUCGUAACAAGGUACCGUA
rnacentral:rRNA from 1 species